SGAGACUUGUAUGAAUGAUUGGACGAGAUAUAGACUGUUUCAAAAAAAUAUAUAGAAUUUUAUUUUUUAGUUAAAAAGCUAAAAUUUUAUUAAAAGACGAGAAGACCCUAUAGAUCUUUAUAUUUAUAUAAAUAUUAGUUUAUAGGAUUUAUUUAGCUGUAUUUAUAUUAAUAUUUUAUUGGGGUGAUAUUGAAAUUUAUUUAACUUUUGGUAAAAUUUUAUUCCAUUAAUUUAUGUAUAUAUGAUCCUUUAAUAAAGAUUAAAAAUUUAAGUUACCUUAGGGAUAACAGCGUAAUUAUUUUGGAGAGUUCAAAUCGAUAAAAUAGUUUGCGACCUCGAUGUUGGAUUAAGAUUAAUUCUAGGCGCAGCAGUUUAGAAGAUUAAGUCUGUUCGACUUUUAAUUUCUUACAUGAUCUGAGUUCAGACCGGA
rnacentral:rRNA from 1 species